AUUGAACGCUGGCGGCAUGCUUUACACAUGCAAGUCGGGCGGCAGCGCGGGGGCAACCCUGGCGGCGAGCGGCGAACGGGUGAGUAACGCAUCGGAACGUAUCCUGGAGUGGGGGAUAACCCAGCGAAAGUUGGGCUAAUACCGCAUGAGCUCUGAGGAGGAAAGCGGGGGACCUGCAAGGGCCUCGCGCUGCAGGAGCGGCCGAUGUCCGAUUAGCUAGUUGGUGAGGUAAAGGCCCACCAAGGCGACGAUCGGUAGCUGGUCUGAGAGGAUGAUCAGCCACACGGGGACUGAGACACGGCCCAGACUCCUACGGGAGGCAGCAGUGGGGAAUUUUGGACAAUGGGGGCAACCCUGAUCCAGCCAUGCCGCGUGAGUGAAGAAGGCCUUCGGGUUGUAAAGCUCUUUCGGACGGAACGAAAUGGUCAUGGUCAAUACCCGUGACUGAUGACGGUACCGUAAGAAGAAGCACCGGCUAACUACGUGCCAGCCGCCGCCGUAA
rnacentral:rRNA from 1 species